AGCCACGUAGCUGCCAUCUUGAUCUUUUUUCCUAGCCAACGCAAAGACUGAUUGUCUUGCUACACACUGCUGAAGCUAAAUUCAAGUAGGGCAGGGAUCCUGAAUCCAGUGUGUUGACUAUACUCCCAGUUUGUAUUUUUCACUUGAAAACAGACAUGAACGAUGAGAUAAUGCUCAAAUGUGCAGAAGAGUCCCUGUCUCCAGGUUUAAAAUAAUUGGAUUUGGAGAAUGUGCCUGUCUACACAAUAUUGAGAUUAGCAGUGCCAGUAGCAAUUUGAUUAGAAAAUGGAUUUGCAGCAAACCAGACACAUACACACCAAGAAGUUAAGGUACCAUAGAUAGAAGAUAUUUUACAUAAAAUGUAGUUUUUAUUCCCUUGAAAGAAAUAUAUUAUGGUAAUAUAAAAGUACAUAAAAUUCAUGCUUAGAAAUUUUCACUAUUCCACUUCAAAUCUCUAAGUACAUUUUUAAUAAAUCUAGUUAGAUAGAAGAAUACCUAUCAGAGAAUGAAACUAGUAAGAAUUUAGAAAUAUAUCUUAGUAAAGUCUUAUUGUUAUAUCUUCUAUUAUAGAUCAUUCCAAAUCUUCCAUCUUUUCACCCUCUCUCCUCAUGCACAUUUUUUAUUUCUUUUUCUCCGUGUAUUUCCAUGCAGUUUCUCUAAAAUGCUCAUGUGGUUAUUUUGAUCUCAACAUAAAUAGGGGAAAUUACCGUUCACAGUCAAAUAAAUGCCAAGGCAUGAAGAGAAUAAAAGAGGAAAGUUCUUUUCAAAUUAAAACUGAUCAUUGCAUGUGUUCUUAGAAAACUCAAGACUUUGUUCUCAAGGUCUUUAUCAUACUGUAUCGUAUUAGUAUGCCAGUGUUCUCCUGUAUCAGGAGUUAAUGAAACUAUUUUUAUUGAAAACUAGAACACAAAAAUAGUGACAAUAGUUUUAGCAUUAAAUUUGCAAUUAGUUUAGAAAAUCGAAGAGACUAGAUAGAAGAAGCUUCAACAUUUAAUUACCAAACAUUAUAGUAAGAGCAAAAACAAAUACCUGAGACGUAUAGAAAGGUUCAGUGGUAGCACAAGA